rnacentral:RNase_P_RNA from 1 species
GGAGCGGAUCGGGGGAUCGCCGUGCCGCAAGGUACGGAGGAAAGUCCGAACUCCCACGGGCAGCAGGCUGGAUAACGUCCAGGCGUGGCGACACGACGGAAAGUGCAACAGAAAGAUACCGCCGUGCAAACGGUAAGGGUGAAAUGGUGCGGUAAGAGCGCACCAUUUCACC